rnacentral:tRNA from 22 species
UGGGGAAUAGUUUAAUGGUAGAACGACGGACUCUGACUCCGUUAGUCUUGGUUCGAAUCCAGGUUCCCCAGCCA